CCAAUUUCUUCUCCCGUGUGUGCUUCCUGGCCACUGGUAACUGCCGCCGCUCAGUGCGAACCGGCCGGUAGUUGCGCCACCGCCGCUGCUUGGGAAGCGAGGCCGUGUCGCACAGCGCCUGAGGGCACCGCCAUGCGCAGGAAACUGUGCCGCACCGGAGUACGUUGGCCGCCCACUCGCGUCGAGCGCCGAUGAUCUUCGGGUGCGGUUGCAGCGCCUUAGGUGGUCGCUCGGACGAGCGCUGGAGGAUGCCGCUGGGAAGGCCGGGGGCCUCUAGCCCCAGGUGCCCUCGUGCCAGGGGAAGCAGCGUCGGGCCGGCGUUGAGAACUUCGGCGUGGAGGUUAGUGCGUCUUGUGUGCAAGAGCAAAAAGAAUGGAAUAUGGUCACCUGAUGAUGUAGCAAUUAAGAUCGAGAGUUUGGUGUUUGUAUAAAUUAAUGCUUCAUCGUCUUGGAGAAGGGGCGGCCCAGAUCCUCGUUAUUUUUCAUGUGAUCCCCUUUUCUCUUCUUCUGUUCUUGGCCGAACUUGGUGUUUCGUCUGUGAGGACGAUUUUUCUCCUCAAUCCUCUGUCUUCUUUUUGGCAGUUAUUGGUAUGGAUUUUCGAUCGAGUGAUCCUGGAUGCCAACGCCCAUAUCCUUUUCUGUGCGUCUUCCUUGUAGUGUGUUCGAGGCUUCCAAUUCUUGAAUCGAUGGAGGCUGGCGCUGCGUUCUUCCAUCGGUUCUUCUUUCUUUGUAGUUCACGAUUGAUCAAUUCUUCGUGAGAUUCGUGUGAGCGCAUAUACAUACAGGAGAAAAACAAUUCAUUGUUAGAUUAUUAAUUGAUGAUUGCAAGAAGACAAGAUCAAUCAAUCAAUCUCCCUGAUUAGUUUCUUUCCUUUUUGUAC